rnacentral:rRNA from 1 species
AGUGAACGCUGGCGGUAGGCCUAACACAUGCAAGUCGAACGGCAGCACAGUAAGAGCUUGCUCUUACGGGUGGCGAGUGGCGGACGGGUGAGGAAUACAUCGGAAUCUACUUUUUCGUGGGGGAUAACGUAGGGAAACUUACGCUAAUACCGCAUACGACCUACGGGUGAAAGCAGGUGAUCUUCGGACCUUGCACGAUUGAAUGAGCCGAUGUCGGAUUAGCUAGUUGGCGGGGUAAAGGCCCACCAAGGCGACGAUCCGUAGCUGGUCUGAGAGGAUGAUCAGCCACACUGGAACUGAGACACGGUCCAGACUCCUACGGGAGGCAGCAGUGGGGAAUAUUGGACAAUGGGCGCAAGCCUGAUCCAGCCAUACCGCGUGGGUGAAGAAGGCCUUCGGGUUGUAAAGCCCUUUUGUUGGGAAAGAAAAGCAGCAGGUUAAUACCCCGCUGUUCUGACGGUACCCAAAGAAUAAGCACCGGCUAACUUCGUG